AUAACUAGUAUUGGAGGCACUGCCUGCCCAGUGACAACCGUUUAACGGCCGCGGUAUCCUGACCGUGCAAAGGUAGCAUAAUCACUUGUUCUCUAAAUAGGGACUUGUAUGAAUGGCCACACGAGGGUUUUACUGUCUCUUACUUCCAAUCAGUGAAAUUGACCUUCCCGUGAAGAGGCGGGAAUAUAUUAAUAAGACGAGAAGACCCUAUGGAGCUUUAACUACUUAGCCCAAAAGAAACAAAUUUCAUUACUAAGGAAACAACAACACUCUUUAUGGGCUAACAGCUUUGGUUGGGGUGACCUCGGAGAACAAGAAAUCCUCCGAGCGAUUUUAAAGACUAGACCUACAAGUCGAAUCACACAAUCGUUUAUUGAUCCAAAAAAUUGAUCAACGGAACAAGUUACCCUAGGGAUAACAGCGCAAUCCUAUUCAAGAGUCCAUAUCGACAAUAGGGUUUACGACCUCGAUGUUGGAUCAGGACAUCCCGAUGGUGCAACCGCUAUCAAAGGUUCGUUUGUUCAACGAUUAAAGUCCUACGUGAUCUGAGUUCAAACCGGAGA
rnacentral:rRNA from 1 species